ACGGGAGGCAGCAGUGGGGAAUAUUGGUCAAUGGGCGCAAGCCUGAACCAGCCAUGCCGCGUGAGUGAAGAAGGCCUUAGGGUUGUAAAGCUCUUUCAGCGGGGACGAUAAUGACGGUACCCGCAGAAGAAGCCCCGGCUAACUUCGUGCCAGCAGCCGCGGUAAUACGAAGGGGGCUAGCGUUGUUCGGAAUUACUGGGCGUAAAGCGCGCGUAGGCGGACGCUUAAGUCAGGGGUGAAAUCCCGGGGCUCAACCCCGGAACCGCCUUUGAUACUGGGCGUCUGGAGUCCGGAAGAGGUUGGUGGAAUUCCGAGUGUAGAGGUGAAAUUCGUAGAUAUUCGGAGGAACACCAGAGGCGAAGGCGGCCAACUGGUCCGGUACUGACGCUGAGGCGCGAAAGCGUGGGGAGCAAACAGGAUUAGAUACCCUGGUA
rnacentral:rRNA from 1 species